GCAAGGGUAGCUCAACCCUAGAGCGUCGGUUUUGUAAGCCGGAGGUCGGAAGUUAAAGCCCUCCCCCCUGCU
rnacentral:tRNA from 1 species